UAGAGAGCAAAGCUGAGAAAUUUACUAGUUCUCUCUCCCGUCAAUCUGUUACAGACUGAAUUGUGCUCCACUUCCUACAUUUAUGGGUUGAAGCCCUAACUUCCAGUGUGACUGCUUGGAGACAGGGACUCUAAGGAGAGAGAAGGCAUGUGAGACACAGUGAGAAAGUGCCAUCUGCAAGCUGAGGAGAGAGGUCUCUCCAGAAACCAACCCUGCUUGCAUCCUGAUCUUGGAUUUCCAGCCUCCUGAACUGUGAGAAAAGAAAUUUCUAUUGUUUAAGCUACCCAAUCUGUGUUUGUGACAUGUUAUUACAGCAGCUGCUCAACAAAAGAAAACAUUCAUGUGGCCAACAAACAUGUGAAUAAAAGCUCAACAUCACUGAUCACUAGAGGAACGCAAAUCAAAACCACAAUGAGAUACUAUCUCACACUAGUCAGAAUGGAGAUUAUUAAAAAGUCAAGAAACAACAGAUGCUGGCGAGGUUGUGGAGAAAUAGGAACACUUUUACACUAUUGGUGGGAGUGUAAAUUAGUUCAAACAAUGUGGAAGACAGUAUGGCGAUUCCUCAAGGUUCUAGAACCAGAAAUACCAUUUGACCCAGCAAUCCCAUUACUUGGUAUAUACCCAAAGGAAUAUAAAUCAUUCUAUUACAAAGAUACAUGCACACAUAUGUUCAUUGCAGCACUAUUCACAAUAGCAAAGACAUGGAAUCAACCCUAAUGCCCAUCAAUAAUAGACUGGAUAAAGAAAAUGUGGCACAUAUAUACCAUGGAAUGCUAUGCAGCCAUAAAAGGGAACAAGAUCAUGUUCUUUGCAGGGAUGUAGAUGGAGCUGGAAGCCAUUAUCCUUAGCAAACUAAUGCAGGAACAGAAAACCAAACACUGCAUGUUCUCACUUAUAAGUGGGAGCUGAACAAUGAGAACACAUGGACACAUGGAGGGGAACAACACACACUGGGGCCUGUCAGAGGGUGGAAUAGGGGGAGCUAGAGCAUUGGAAAAACUAGCUAAUGCAUGCUGGGCUUAAUACUUAGGUGAUGGGUUGAUAGGUGCAGCAAACAACUAUGGCACACGUUUACCUAUGUAACAAACUUGCACAUCCUGAGCAUGUACCCCAGAACUUAAAAUAAAAACUAAAAUAAAA
rnacentral:lncRNA from 1 species